AGUGAACGCUGGCGGUAGGCCUAACACAUGCAAGUCGAACGGCAGCACAGUAAGAGCUUGCUCUUACGGGUGGCGAGUGGCGGACGGGUGAGGAAUACAUCGGAAUCUACUUUUUCGUGGGGGAUAACGUAGGGAAACUUACGCUAAUACCGCAUACGACCUACGGGUGAAAGCAGGGGAUCUUCGGACCUUGCGCGAUUGAAUGAGCCGAUGUCGGAUUAGCUAGUUGGCGGGGUAAAGGCCCACCAAGGCGACGAGCCGUAGCUGGUCUGAGAGGAUGAUCAGCCACACUGGAACUGAGACACGGUCCAGACUCCUACGGGAGGCAGCAGUGGGGAAUAUUGGACAAUGGGCGCAAGCCUGAUCCAGCCAUACCGCGUGGGUGAAGAAGGCCGUCGGGUUGUAAAGCCCUUUUGUUGGGAAAGAAAAGCAGCAGGUUAAUACCCCGCUGUUCUGACGGUACCCAAAGAAUAAGCACCGGCUAACUUCGUG
rnacentral:rRNA from 1 species